rnacentral:rRNA from 1 species
AACGAACGCUAGCGGCAUGCUUAACACAUGCAAGUCGAACAGACUUGUAGGGCUUGCUCUACAAGUUAGUGGCAGACGGGUGAGUGACGCGUGGGAAUGUACCUUUUGGUUCGGAAUAACUUCGGGAAACUGAAGCUAAUACCGGAUAAGCCCGUGAGGGGAAAGAUUUAUCGCCGAAAGAGCAGCCCGCGUUAGAUUAGGUAGUUGGUAAGGUAAUGGCCUACCAAGCCUACGAUCUAUAGCUGGUCUGAGAGGAUGAUCAGCCACAUUGGGACUGAGACACGGCCCAGACUCCUACGGGAGGCAGCAGUGGGGAAUAUUGGACAAUGGGGGAAACCCUGAUCCAGCAAUGCCGCGUGAGUGAUGAAGGCCUUCGGGUUGUAAAGCUCUUUUGUCAGGGACGAUGAUGACGGUACCUGACGAAUAAGCUCCGGCUAACUUCGUGCCAGCCGCCGCGGUAA